rnacentral:rRNA from 1 species
CAACGCUGGCGGCAGGCCUAACACAUGCAAGUCGAGCGGCAGCACGGGGAGCUUGCUCCCUGGUGGCGAGCGGCGGACGGGUGAGUAAUGCAUGGGAAUCUGCCCGGUAGAGGGGGAUAACGUGUGGAAACGCACGCUAAUACCGCAUACGUCCUACGGGAGAAAGGAGGGGAUCUUCGGACCUUCCGCUAUCGGAUGAGCCCAUGUCGGAUUAGCUAGUUGGUAGGGUAAAGGCCUACCAAGGCAACGAUCCGUAGCUGGUCUGAGAGGAUGAUCAGCCACACUGGGACUGAGACACGGCCCAGACUCCUACGGGAG